AUUGAACGUCGGCGGCAUGCGUUACACAUGCAAGUCGAACGGCAGCACGGGGGCAGCCCUGGUGGCGAGUGGCGAACGGGUGAGUAAUGCAUCGGAACAUGCCCAGUAGUGGGGGAUAAUACGGCGAAAGCCGGGCUACUAACCCAUACUACCUAUGGGUGAAAGCGGGGGACCGUAAGCACGUGCACUAUUGGAGCCGCCGAUGUCUGGCUAGCUAGUUGGCGGGGUAAAAGCCCACCAAGGCGACGAUCAGUAGCUGGUGUGAGAGGACGACCAGGCACACUGGGACUGAGACACGGCCCAGACUCCGACGGGAGGCAGCAGUGGGGAAUUGUGGACAAUGGGCGCAAGCCUGUUCCAGCCAUGCCGCGUGCGGGAAGAAGGCCUUCGGGUUGUAAACCGCUUUUGGCAGGAACGAAUCGGCGCAAGUCAAUACCUUGCGCUAAUGACGGUACCUGCAGAAUAAGCACCGGCUAACUACGUGCCAGCCGCCGCCGUAACAC
rnacentral:rRNA from 1 species